AAUGGACCUAUGGGGAACAAAAGGGAAAAGAACUUGGAAUUAUUUGAGCUGGACAAGAAUUUGCUGCAGGGUGACCUCAUAAUCAUUUUCAACUGAUGAAAAGGUAUUAUAAGGAUAAUAGGUGUCAGAGAUGCAGGGUUCCAAUUAAUUAUUUUCCUCCUCACUUCCGGUUUUCAAACUUCCAGAACUACACUGAGAACAAACACAAUGAGGUGCCCAAUGGCUUGUGGGGAAGAAGACAUCCUUAUACAUUCCUGUAGAUGUUCCGGCUCUUUUUGGAAGCACUUUGGCAAUAUCUGUCAACAUCAAAAAUAUCUCUGUGUAUACACACCCAUACGUUCUUCUGGCUCAACAAUCCUACUUUGAGGCACUAUUCUAUAAAAUAAAAGCACCAACAUAUAAACAUG